AGGGUUUGAUUCUGGCUCAGAUUGAACGCUGGCGGCAGGCCUAACACAUGCAAGUCGAACGGUAACAGGAAACAGCUUGCUGUUUCGCUGACGAGUGGCGGACGGGUGAGUAAUGUCUGGGAAACUGCCUGAUGGAGGGGGAUAACUACUGGAAACGGUAGCUAAUACCGCAUAACGUCGCAAGACCAAAGAGGGGGACCUUCGGGCCUCUUGCCAUCGGAUGUGCCCAGAUGGGAUUAGCUAGUAGGUGGGGUAACGGCUCACCUAGGCGACGAUCCCUAGCUGGUCUGAGAGGAUGACCAGCCACACUGGAACUGAGACACGGUCCAGACUCCUACGGGAGGCAGCAGUGGGGAAUAUUGCACAAUGGGCGCAAGCCUGAUGCAGCCAUGCCGCGUGUAUGAAGAAGGCCUUCGGGUUGUAAAGUACUUUCAGCGGGGAGGAAGGGAGUAAAGUUAAUACCUUUGCUCAUUGACGUUACCCGCAGAAGAAGCACCGGCUAACUCCGUGC
rnacentral:rRNA from 1 species